AUUGAACGCUGGCGGCAUGCUUUACACAUGCAAGUCGAACGGUAACAGGCCUUCGGGUGCUGACGAGUGGCGAACGGGUGAGUAAUGCAUCGGAACGUACCCAGAGGUGGGGGAUAACGCAGCGAAAGCUGUGCUAAUACCGCAUGUGAUCUGAGGAUGAAAGCGGGGGACCGCGCAGCAACGUUUGGCCUCGCGCCUUUGGAGCGGCCGAUGUCGGAUUAGCUAGUUGGUGGGGUAAAGGCCUACCAAGGCGACGAUCCGUAGCUGGUCUGAGAGGACGACCAGCCACACUGGGACUGAGACACGGCCCAGACUCCUACGGGAGGCAGCAGUGGGGAAUUUUGGACAAUGGGCGCAAGCCUGAUCCAGCCAUGCCGCGUGCGGGAAGAAGGCCUUCGGGUUGUAAACCGCUUUUGGCAGGAACGAAACGGUGUCCGCUAAUACCGGGCGCUAAUGACGGUACCUGCAGAAUAAGCACCGGCUAACUACGUG
rnacentral:rRNA from 1 species